rnacentral:rRNA from 1 species
AUUGAACGCUGGCGGCAUGCUUUACACAUGCAAGUCGAACGGUAACAGGCCGUCGGCUGCUGACUAGAGCCGAACGGGGGAGUGAAACAUCUAAAAGUGCGCAGAGGAGGGGGGUAAAGCGGCGGAAGAUGGGCGAAUAUAGCACGUGAGCCGUGGAUGAAAGCGGGGGAGCAAUCAGCAACGUAUGCUAUCGCGCCUCUCUAGCUCGCGAUGUCGGAUUAGUUAGUUGGUGGGGUAAAGGCCUACCAAGCCGACGAUCUGUAGCUGGUCUGAGAGGACGGCCAGCCACACUGGGACUGAGACACGGCCCAGACUCCUACGGGAGGCAGCAGUGGGGAAUUUUGGACAAUGGGCGCAAGCCUGAUCCAGCAAUGCCGCGUGCGGGAAGAAGGCCUUCGGGUUGUAAAGCGCUUUUGUACGGAACGAAAAGGAGCUGGCUAAUACCUUGCUCUGAUGACGUUACCGAAAGAAUAAGCACCGGCUAACUACGUG